rnacentral:misc_RNA from 1 species
UGUGGGAGCGAGCCUGCUCGCGAUGCGGUGUCGGAUCAGGGUGAUGCCAUCGCGAGCAGGCUCGCUCCCACA